CUAACACAUGCAAGUCGAACGAAGUAGCAAUACUUAGUGGCAGACGGGUGAGUAACAUGUGGGUAUCUACCCUUUGGCCUGGAAUAACACGAGGAAACUUGUGCUAAUACCGGAUAAGUCCUAACGGAGAAAGUUUUAACGCCAAAAGAUGAGCCCGCAUUUGAUUAGCUAGUUGGUGAAGUAAAAGCUCACCAAGGCGAUAAUCAAUAGCUGAUUUGAGAGGAUGAUCAGCCACACUGGGACUGAGAUACGGCCCAGACUCC
rnacentral:rRNA from 1 species